GGCCGAGGUGGAGGUGUGCUCGGCCUUUAUCCUCAUCCCCUAUGCAGUUCCAGUCUCGAGCCUCAAACUCUAGACGCCGCCCAGGAGAGGAGGCAAAGGUGAUUCCAAGGACGACAGCGGCAUGCCCGGUCGCGGCGGCGACCUCCUCUACCCCAGCAUCAACACCAGCCGGCCGACCUCGAGCAGCACGGCGGCAGAGCCGGUCUCCUUCUCCACCUCGACCCCAAACCUAACCACGACUCCGAGCGCCCCGGCCUCAACAUCUUCCUCUACCCCGACCCCAACUCUGAGUGUGGUGAGUCUGGAUCCGCCCAGAUCCAGGACUGUGAGGCCACAUCCCCUCUCACUCUUGUAGUUUUGAUUGAUUUUUCUUUAGAUACGCAAGUUGUGUGCAGCGGCAUUUCUAAAGCAUCCAAAGACUCCUAAUGUCCUACAAGUGCACCUGCCAUUUACUUAUCAAUUUGUAUAUUCUGAACAUAUGAUGAAAAGAAUUUGCAUGGGCUAGCCAGAAUUUCUUCGCAGGUAGUCUUAUCAGAUGGUUCUUAGCCUUUUUGUAUAGAAUGGAAUAGGCACCAACUCUGCUUCUGGAUCUUCUAUGUUACUGUGUGAUCUAAUUUUAGAUAACUUGAUCUGGACUUUUUGAGGAAGCAAGUCUGGACCAGAACCAUGAUAUGUCUCUUUUGGAAGAAGUUGGUUCCUCUGCAUAAAUUCUCUCUUGCUUCACAUAUCAUGGGGCAUGGUAUAAAUUUCACUCCUGCGUUCAGUUAGUUUAUAAUAGGUAUGUUCACCAGGGCAAAGGAAUGCUUCAGCGCCACCAGUUGCUCAAUGAGUUUGAAGCCUUGUUUGAGUCUGACAAGGAGAGAUAUGCAAAUUUUGAAGACAUUCUCCGUGCUGCCAAGGAAGCAAUUGUGCUGCCCCAUGGGUUUCCCUGGACAUCAGGCCUAGGCGUGGUGUCUGGGACUAUGUACGGGUGAAUGUUAGCGAGUUGCCAAGUUUGUGCUUGAGCUUGAUUUUGAGCCUUUCAAUGCCUCCUUCCCACGUCCUUCCAUGACCCAUUGGAAAUGGGGUGCAGUUCCUUAACCGUCACCUAUCUACCAACCUGUUCCAGGACAGGGAGAGCCUCUACCCACUACUGAACUUCCUGAAAGCCCAUAACCACAA